rnacentral:lncRNA from 1 species
AAGAAUUAGAGAGAUCCAAUCCUAGCUACUCCAAACGCAUGAAGAUGAUGCUAGAUUAUACAAUUCCUUAGUUUUUAUACCAAGUGUUCUUAGGUCAGAAUAUUUCCAGCAAUUACGGACUAACAAAUAUCCCAACUAACAAUCAAUUAACUUUGCAAUCAAGAAUCAAGUGGCCAAUUUGAUCAAAACAACAAAGCAAUCUUAGAUUUAAGCACA